rnacentral:rRNA from 1 species
UACAGAGGGUGCGAGCGUUAAUCGGAUUUACUGUGCGUAAAGCGUGCGUAGGAGGUUUGUUAAGUCAGGUGUGAAAUCACCGGGCUCAACCUGGGAACUGCGCUCGAAACUGGCGAGCUAGAGUGUGGAAGAGGGUAGUGGAAUUCACGGUGUAGCGGUGAAAUGCGUAGAUAUCGGGAGGAACACCAGAGGCGAAGGCGGCUAGCUGGGCCAACACUGACGCUGAGGCGCGAAAGCCAGGGGAGCAAACGGG